CCGUCUCCCCCCUGUUCCGGACCUCCUCCGCUCCGCCGGUCCCACCUCCCAUCCGCACCAUAUUGGCGACGCGGCCGGCUGGCUCGCCGGAGCCCGCGUGCAUCCAUGCGCGCGGCUCCGUCGAGCUGGCCGGACCACGUCGCGUACCUUGGCCGAGGGCGUUGGGUGGUGCUCCACGCCGGCGAGGCGUCUCCGGCCAGAAGGACGCGCCGGCAGCGGCGACGCGGGGCACGGAACGCCGUCGUCCACUACUCCCUGAGACGAGCCAGUGGAGGAGGUGACGCGGGUGUUCGGUGGUCUCGGCCUGGCCGCCGAUUCCGGCAGGCUGCGCUCACCGGACUCCUCCGGGAACAGCAGGGGUGCGGUGCGCUGUUGCACGCCGGCCACCAGCUCCGGCCCCUUCUCCACAUCGACGCCAGCGAUGAGCUUGCGUCCACCGGCCAGCUUGCCGCACAGGAAACAUGCCGGUGAUCCAUUCCUGGUGGACGCCAAGCUUGCUUGGCAUGGUCUUGGUGGCUGGCACCCCACCAUCAGAUGGCACGCCACGAGGAGGGCCAAGCAGGCGGCGCCGAGCAAGGAUGAGCCGUGUUCCGCCCUGCAGAUGAGAUGGCCGGUCUGUAGCUUCACCGACCUCUCCACUUGAGCGGUCUUGCAACCAUGGCCUGUGGCCAGUAGGAGUGCCAUGCAACUAUCUUCGCAGGUACAGGGAGGGAGGCUGCUGGAGGACGCCAAGUUUGGUUGGCAUGGUUUUGGUUGCCGGCACCCCACCAUCAGAUGUCACACCACGAGGAGGGCCAAGCAGGUGGCGCCUAGCAAGGACCAGCCGGUGUUCUGCCCUGGAGAUGAGAUGGCCAGUCGCUUGUGCGAUCUUGCGGGACCGUGACCUGCUAUGACUUGAUUUCGUUUUGCCGGUGACUUUUUUGUUGUUGUGGUGGUUGCAAGCAGUGCUGUAAAUGUGAAAUUUAAAAACUGCUAGUACCUAUUGUUCAUUCCUUGCU